AUUUUAAUGAUAAAAAAACUACAUAGUAUUUAUAAGUUUGCAUAAAUUAGUAUUUAUAAAUUUUAUCGGAUGGCAAAAUCUACAGAUCAGAAUGUAGAUAAGAUCCGGAUGCGGAUAAUAUCUGCACGGAUUAUGAGCGAAUAUUACAUAUACUUGAUCCGCAAAAAUUAAAAUUUGACAAUUUAAAAAUAAGAUUAAAUAUUUACAAUUUUACAUUAUAUUGAAAAUUAAUGCAUUUAAUUAAAGUAAUUAAACUAAAAACCAUAAAUUCAUUCUUACUACUUGUUAAUUAAUUCAUCAAUUAAUCAGUCAAAUUUUUGUAAGUCGUCGUUGAGAUUCGGAGAAAUAAAGAGGAUUAAAACCGUUAAAUUCAAUCUUCAAAAUCAGCAGCAACAGCAAUAGCAUGCCAACGGUGGCUACUUGUCUCCGUUCAAAUUAGCCAAGUUGUUAGAUCCAGACGCAUCCUGGGAUAGGGAUCAAUCGGGAGAUGUGUUGCAUUGGAUUCGACAGGUGGUGGCUGUUGCUCUGAUUUUGUACGGCUUGUAAGACAGGAAAAAAAAAACCUAAUUAAAGAAUUGAAUUAAUUUGUAAGCCAAGGAAGAUUACAGAGAUGCAUCCAUGUGUGGUGUGCUUAGCGAGCCAGAGAUGCAGCGGCGUGCCGGCGUUUGAUGACAGCAAGUGCGGUCAGAGGUGAGGCAGAGCAACUGGCGUUCAACGACAGCAAUGCGUGCCCAGCUCUGUGAGGCAACCGGCGUUCGAUGAUAACGACUGCAAGGCAGAUGGCAUUCGACGGUGAGGCAUUUGGGGUUGUUUUCGAUUUCAGCUGCAGCGGCUGCUUGUGAGCGGUGGGGAAGUCGUGAGUGCAUGCGAUUUUAGUUUUAGCUUUUAGGGUUGCUGGGACUAGUUUUUUUUUAGUUUAUAUAUUUUCCAACUGAAAAUUGAUUAAAUUAAUAAUUUAAUUAAAAAUCAGCCGGAUCCGGAUAUCGGCUUUCUGGAUGCAAGCGCAUUCAGAUCCAGAUCUAGAUCCGGAUCCGGAUAUGUGCAUAUAGACUCUGGAUCCGAAUCUUUCGUAUCUUUGCGGAUGAUUCGGAUUUUUUUUUCAUCUCUAAUGACAACAAAGAUACGUAGGGUACAAAAUGUCCUUUUCAUUCAAAAGAUUUGAGCCAAUUAAUGAAUUUGUGUUUUUAUUUCGAAUAUUUUCUAUUUUACGUCUUUCCCUAUUGUUUUAAAGAGAAAAGAAUAUUUUUAUCAUGGUAUGUUAAAAAUUCAAGCAAUACAGUGGCUGACUACCAUAUACCAAGACUUAUAAUGUAGAAGCAAAGAAAAGUAAUUUUGUACAAGUGAUUUUAAAAUAUAAGAAUUAAAGAAAGUAAUGUAAAAGGAAAAAAAUUAAUUUUGUACUAAUUAUUUUAAAACACAAGUAACUUUGUAAAAGUGAUUUUAAUAGUCACUUAAGACUUAUUUAUUAAAUAUCUGGA
rnacentral:lncRNA from 1 species